rnacentral:lncRNA from 1 species
AGAGACAAGAACACAAACAAUUUUGGUGACGCGGAAAACCCCUUGUAAAAGGUUAAAAACCGCGGGUGGGAUGGUUACCCAGCCAAUAAAAGAAUUCACUAUAAUUUUGUAGUACAAGUGAGGAUGAAUACAAUUUACAGAUGAAUAAAACAAGGUGUAUGCUACGUAGUUUGUUUUCUCCACUAGUGUUUAUAGGUUGGUGCAUGCAUAGGUAGGUGUAGGUAGCUUCAGUAGGUAGAUUAUGUAAAAACUUAAGUGUGUAUGUAGAUGAUUGUGAUAGACUUGAGUUGUAGGUUGUAGGCACAACUUGUCAAAGAUGAAUGAGGCUAAGUCCCCUUUUUAUCUACAGAAUGAUCCUAUUUAUAGCCAAUGAUUAUGAUUCGGAAUCUACUGUUCCUAACUUCAUGCUGCAUGUACUCAUAGUUAUCUAUUCUGAACAAACUUAUGUUGGGUUUGUGCUCCUCUUUUCACGCAGGACUCUGACCACUUCUCUUGACCGUUAUAACACAUCAGCUAGUAAGCCUCCUUCAAACUCAUUUGAACAGGAUAGUCCCAUGGCGUCCACAAGAAAGUUCAUGUCGUAAAUUUGGCCCAUAACAUUAGCCCCUUGAUUUUAGUAAAUAUUACAUCUAAUAUUUAUUAAAAUCAACCCAUACGAGUCCAAAAUAAUCCUAACCGUAGAGCUAAUUAUUCAAAUUGUAGAAUAGGUCUUGAUCUUGGUCCGUGCGCUAUUCAUACGUCCCUUCGCGUUAUCACGUGCCAUCACCUUGCUGCGUCGUCA